rnacentral:lncRNA from 1 species
UGCUGGAGCGGCUCGCGCGGGCUCCUCGCGGGCAGGCAGCAACGAGAGAUCUGUUGUCCCAGGGUGAGGAAGCAAAGGCACAGAAGAGCUGAAGCGAUUUGCCCACAGUCACAAGGGCACUGGACUUUAAGGGCCAAGAGUGAAGACCAUUUUGUCCUGUUCUCUGGCACACAGUAGGCACUCGACAACUAUUUCAAAACUAAAGGAAUAAGCAAGUGGCCUCAUGGCUACUGAGGACAGAGUCUGGAACUGAAUGCAGGGCACUCUGAAGCUGGAGCUCACUUCUACAUUAUUGCCUUUCUCAUGCUACUAGCAGGCACUGAAUGUGUCAGUGAGUGAAUGAAUGAAACCAAGAUCUCAGGAUCCCAGUCAAGUGCUCCCUGAGUUUCAUUUCCUGGUAGUGUGGACAUGAGCCAAGCUCCAGCCACCUUGGAUGGUGGUGGGGGUGGCGGGGCUGAUGGGCCGCCUGAAGCCGGCUGUCAGGAGCUCGUCUGGCCACAGCCGCCAGCAGGAGAGACCAGCUGGCGGUGCAGGGUCCAUCGGCCCGGGCCUGGAAUCUGAGCUGCCCUCAGAGGCCCAGCUUCUCUCUGGGCCCCCACAAACUGGCCUUUGUUCCUGGGCCGGCCAAGACCCAGCAGCUUGGGCUUUCUGUCUGCCCGCGGCACCCGCGCUGAGCUGGCGGGGUAAAUGGGCCAGCCUCCCCUCUGUCCAUGCCCAGGACGUCGCUUUAGGACUAAAUGGAGAUGUAAUUUUCUAUACAAAUCCAUGACAAUUUAGAUGGAGUGAUUGUAAUUGGCUUUUCAAUGGGGGUUUUGUCCAGAGCUGGUGGCUAGAACUGGGUGGCCUGUUUGAGGCAGGCUCCAUUUAAAUGACAAUAAAGCAAUAAUAUUGA